rnacentral:tRNA from 1 species
ACUUCCAUGGUGCAACUGGUAUCAUGUUCACUGUAAAUGUGAAAGAUCCAGGUUCAAAUCCUGGUGGAAGUC